UGGGGAAUUUUGGACAAUGGGCGAAAGCCUGAUCCAGCAAUGCCGCGUGUGUGAAGAAGGCCUUCGGGUUGUAAAGCACUUUUGUCCGGAAAGAAAUCCUUGGCUCUAAUACAGUCGGGGGAUGACGGUACCGGAAGAAUAAGCACCGGCUAACUACGUGCCAGCAGCCGCGGUAAUACGUAGGGUGCAAGCGUUAAUCGGAAUUACUGGGCGUAAAGCGUGCGCAGGCGGUUUGCUAAGACCGAUGUGAAAUCCCCGGGCUCAACCUGGGAACUGCAUUGGUGACUGGCAGGCUAGAGUAUGGCAGAGGGGGGUAGAAUUCCACGUGUAGCAGUGGAAUGCGUAGAGAUGUGGAGGAAUACCGAUGGCGAAGGCAGCCCCCUGGGCCAAUACUGACGCUCAUGCACGAAAGCGUGGGGAGCAAAACAGGAUUAGAUACCCUGGUAGUCCACGCCCUAAAACGAUGUCAACUAGUUGUUGGGGAUUCAUUUCCUUAGUAACGUAGCUAACGCGUGAAGUUGACCGCCUGGGGAGUACGG
rnacentral:rRNA from 1 species